GUGUCACAAAAAUGGUUCAACGCGCCCAACGCGCCUGUGGCUGCGCUAGAGUCCGAGGUAGGAAACCCAAACGCCGCCGUGUUUGGGUGCAUGAUAGAGUUUAGAUCGGGUUAGAUUAAAUAAUCUCGGAUAUAAAUAACGAUCUCAUCUCAUCGUCAUCCGUUCCGGGGUCGGGUCGCGGGGGGAGCAGCUCAAGCAGGGGGCUCCAGACUUCCCUUUCCCGGGCCACAUUGACCAGCUCUGACGGGGGGAUCCCGAGGCAUUCCCAGGCCAGUGUUGAGAUAUAAUCUAUCCACCUAGUCCUGGGUCUUCCCCCAGGUCUCCUCCCCACUGGACGUGCCUGAAACACCUCCCAAUGGAGGCGCCCAGUGGGCAUCCUUGCCAGAUGCCCGAACCACCUCAGCUGACUCCUUUCUAAGUAAAGGAGCAGCGGCUCUAAUCCGAGUUCCUCACGGAUGACUGAGCUUCUCACCCUAUCCCGAGACGCCAGCCACCCUUCUGAGAAAACUCAUCUCGGCCGCUUGUACCCGCGAUCUCGUCCUUUCGGACAUCACCCAACCCUCAUGACCAUAGAUCAGCCGACUAAAAAGAGACAGAGAAACCCAAUGUCGGAGGAACAGAAGAAGAGAAAAGGGAGACUGACCGACAGAGAGGCCAGACACGAGUAAACGUUGGGCAAGCUUUUCAGGAAUAGCGUGAACUGAAAGAAAAAGAAGACUGCAAAUCAGACGCCGACUCGGCCGUGUUGCUUUUGAAAUUGAAAGUACCCUUGGGUGAACUUUGUCUUCGUGGUAUUCUUGAUGUUGAUAGUCUCUGUACAAAUGUGUUUGCUCAACCAUUUUGUUGUGAGCCCUGUAAAAAUUGUUUUCUCAACCGUUUUGUUGUGAGCCCUGUAUGUUUCUAGCUUGCUUGGUUGCAACCAUAUAAACACCUUUGUUUCCA